GGAAGGCAGCAGGCGCGCAAAUUACCCAAUCCCGACACGGGGAGGUAGUGACAAUAAAUACUGAUACAGGGCUCUUUUGGGUCUUGUAAUUGGAAUGAGUACAAUUUAAAUCCCUUAACGAGGAACAAUUGGAGGGCAAGUCUGGUGCCAGCAGCCGCGGUAAUUCCAGCUCCAAUAGCGUAUAUUAAAGUUGUUGCAGUUAAAAAGCUCGUAGUUGAACCUUGGGCCUGGCUGGCCGGUCCGCCUCACCGCGUGCACUGGUCCGGCCGGGUCUUUCCUUCUGGGGAGCCGCAUGCCCUUCACUGGGUGUGUCGGGGAACCAGGACUUUUACUUUGAAAAAAUUAGAGUGUUCAAAGCAGGCCUAUGCUCGAAUACAUUAGCAUGGAAUAAUAGAAUAGGACGUGUGGUUCUAUUUUGUUGGUUUCUAGGGCCGCCGUAAUGAUUAAUAGGGAUAGUCGGGGGCAUCAGUAUUCAAUUGUCAGAGGUGAAAUUCUUGGAUUUAUUGAAGACUAACUACUGCGAAAGCAUUUGCCAAGGAUGUUUUCAUUAAUCAGUGAACGAAAGUUAGGGGAUCGAAGACGAUCAGAUACCGUCGUAGUCUUAACCAUAAACUAUGCCGACUAGGGAUCGGGCGGUGUUAUCUUUUUGACCCGCUCG
rnacentral:rRNA from 1 species